rnacentral:sRNA from 20 species
UGUCCUCGUGGGGCGCUCAGGUCCGCCGCAUCUCCUGAGUCCGCGGGGCACGGCCGGCCGGGUCCGUGGUUGUGGAGUGGCCUCCUCUGAUAAGCCGCGAUUCCCUGGCCGGCCACUAU